GCAUUGGUGGUUCACUGGUAGAAUCCUCGCCUGCCUCGCAGGAGACCCGGGUCAGAUUCCCAGCCAAUGCA
rfam:Danio rerio unplaced genomic contig NA915, GRCz11 reference primary assembly.